AGUGGAGUGGUGUAGUGGUUAACACACCCGACCGGGCAUUUGUAGGCCCAGAGUUCGAAUCUUGGCUUCGCCG
rnacentral:tRNA from 1 species